UGGGGAAUCUUAGACAAUGGGCGCAAGCCUGAUCUAGCCAUGCCGCGUGAGUGAUGAAGGCCCUAGGGUCGUAAAGCUCUUUCGCUGGGGAAGAUAAUGACGGUACCCAGUAAAGAAACCCCGGCUAACUCCGUGCCAGCAGCCGCGGUAAUACGGAGGGGGUUAGCGUUGUUCGGAAUUACUGGGCGUAAAGCGCGCGUAGGCGGAUUGGAAAGUUGGGGGUGAAAUCCCGGGGCUCAACCCCGGAACUGCCUCCAAAACUAUCAGUCUAGAGGUCGAGAGAGGUGAGUGGAAUUCCGAGUGUAGAGGUGAAAUUCGUAGAUAUUCGGAGGAACACCAGUGGCGAAGGCGGCUCACUGGCUCGAUACUGACGCUGAGGUGCGAAAGCGUGGGGAGCAAACAGG
rnacentral:rRNA from 1 species